UACGUAGGGUGCAAGCGUUGUCCGGAAUUAUUGGGCGUAAAGAGCUCGUAGGCGGUUCGUCGCGUCGGCUGUGAAAACCCGGAGCUCAACUCCGGGCCUGCAGUCGAUACGGGCGGACUGGAGUGUUGCAGGGGAGACUGGAAUUCCUGGUGUAGCGGUGAAAUGCGCAGAUAUCAGGAGGAACACCGGUGGCGAAGGCGGGUCUCUGGGACGGUACUGACGCUGAGACGCGAAAGCGUGGGGAGCGAACAGG
rnacentral:rRNA from 1 species